CUCCGCUUGGUGUAGUUGGUUUAUCACGUUCGACUGUAAUAUUUGUUGUAAUCGAAAGGUCUCCAGUUCGACUCUGGAAGCGGAGA
rnacentral:tRNA from 1 species